CCUACGGGAGGCAGCAGUAGGGAAUAUUGCUCAAUGGGGGAAACCCUGAAGCAGCAACGCCGCGUGGAGGAUGAAGGUUUUCGGAUUGUAAACUCCUUUUGUUAGAGAAGAUAAUGACGGUAUCUAACGAAUAAGCACCGGCUAACUCCGUGCCAGCAGCCGCGGUAAUACGGAGGAUGCAAGCGUUACUCGGAAUCACUGGGCGUAAAGAGGGCGUAGGCGGGAUAGCAAGUCAGAUGUGAAAUCCUAUGGCUUAACCAUAGAAUUGCAUUUGAAACUGUUAGUCUAGAGUAUGGGAGAGGUAGGUGGAAUUCUUGGUGUAGGGGUAAAAUCCGUAGAGAUCAAGAGGAAUACUCAUUGCGAAGGCGACCUGCUAGAACAUAACUGACGCUGAUGCGCGAAAGCGUGGGGAGCAAACAGGAUUAGAUACCCCAGUAGUC
rnacentral:rRNA from 1 species